CACUGCCGAGAAAAGCCUCUAGAUAGAAAAUAGGUGCCCGUACCGCAAACCGACACAGGUAGUCAAGAUGAGAAUUCUAAGGUGAGCGAGCGAACUCUCGUUAAGGAACUCGGCAAAAUGACCCCGUAACUUCGGGAGAAGGGGUGCUCUUUAGGGUUAACGCCCAGAAGAGCCGCAGUGAAUAGGCCCAAGCGACUGUUUAUCAAAAACACAGGUCUCUGCUAAACCGUAAGGUGAUGUAUAGGGGCUGACGCCUGCCCGGUGCUGGAAGGUUAAGAGGAGUGGUUAGCUUCUGCGAAGCUACGAAUCGAAGCCCCAGUAAACGGCGGCCGUAACUAUAACGGUCCUAAGGUAGCGAAAUUCCUUGUCGGGUAAGUUCCGACCCGCACGAAAGGCGUAACGAUUUGGGCACUGUCUCAACGAGAGACUCGGUGAAAUCAUAGUACCUGUGAAGAUGCAGGUUACCCGCGACAGGACGGAAAGACCCCGUGGAGCUUUACUGUAGCCUGAUAUUGAAAUUCGGCACAGCUUGUACAGGAUAGGUAGGAGCCUUUGAAACGUGAGCGCUAGCUUACGUGGAGGCGCUGGUGGGAUACUACCCUAGCUGUGUUGGCUUUCUAACCCGCACCACUUAUCGUGGUGGGAGACAGUGUCAGGCGGGCAGUUUGACUGGGGCGGUCGCCUCCUAAAAGGUAACGGAGGCGCUCAAAGGUUCCCUCAGAAUGGUUGGAAAUCAUUCAUAGAGUGUAAAGGCAUAAGGGAGCUUGACUGCGAGACCUACAAGUCGAGCAGGGUCGAAAGACGGACUUAGUGAUCCGGUGGUUCCGCAUGGAAGGGCCAUCGCUCAACGGAUAAAAGCUACCCCGGGGAUAACAGGCUUAUCUCCCCCAAGAGUUCACAUCGACGGGGAGGUUUGGCACCUCGAUGUCGGCUCAUCGCAUCCUGGGGCUGUAGUCGGUCCCAAGGGUUGGGCUGUUCGCCCAUUAAAGCGGUACGCGAGCUGGGUUCAGAACGUCGUGAGACAGUUCGGUCCCUAUCCGUCGUGGGCGUAGGAAAUUUGAGAGGAGCUGUCCUUAGUACGAGAGGACCGGGAUGGACAUACCUCUGGUGUACCAGUUGUCGUGCCAACGGCAUAGCUGGGUAGCUAUGUGUGGACGGGAUAAGUGCUGAAAGCAUCUAAGCAUGAAGCCCCCCUCAAGAUGAGAUUUCCCAACUUCGGUUAUAAGAUCCCUCAAAGAUGAUGAGGUUAAUAGGUUCGAGGUG
rnacentral:rRNA from 1 species